UAGGGAAUCUUCCACAAUGGACGCAAGUCUGAUGGAGCAACGCCGCGUGAGUGAAGAAGGUUUUCGGAUCGUAAAGCUCUGUUGUAAGAGAAGAACGUGUGUGAGAGUGGAAAAUUCACACAGUGACGGUAACUUACCAGAAAGGGACGGCUAACUACGUGCCAG
rnacentral:rRNA from 1 species